GAUGAACGCUAGCGGCAGGCUUAACACAUGCAAGUCGAGGGGUAUGGUUCUUCGGAACCAGAGACCGGCGCACGGGUGCGUAACGCGUAUGCAAUCUACCUUUUACAGAGGGAUAGCCCAGAGAAAUUUGGAUUAAUACCUCAUAGUAUAACAUGACCGCAUGGUCGAGUUAUUAAAGUCACAACGGUAAAAAAUGAGCA
rnacentral:rRNA from 1 species